rnacentral:rRNA from 1 species
UACGUAGGAGGCGAGCGUUGUCCGGAAUUACUGGGCGUAAAGAGCGCGUAGGCGGCGCGAUACGACCGAUGUGAAAUCCCUCGGCUCAACCGAGGAAGUGCGCCCGAAACUGCAGAGCUUGAGUACCGGAGAGGAUGGCGGAAUUCCCGAAGUAGAGGUGAAAUUCGUAGAUAUCGGGAGGAACACCGGUGGCGAAGGCGGCCAUCUGGACGGAUACUGACGCUGAGACGCGAAAGCGUGGGGAGCAAACAGG